UCUAAGUAAAUAGACACAUUGAUGUCCUUCUGCAAUAUAAAAUAGUGGAAAACUCAUCCCAGACCAGUUGAAAAGAAAUGGAGCUGCAUCAGGACCAGCACUACAUUGUCACAGGCUUACGCCACAUAUACUUUAGUCAAAGAAAGUUUUUCAAGUGACACCAUUGAGAGUCUGUAGGGGAAAGGCUGAGAAACAGAUUAAAAUGUUCUGCUGGUACUCUGACCCUGGGGAAAUUAUCCUACUGCGUGACAGCAAAACACUCUAUGAAUUAAUGACUAAGCCUUCUGCUAUCAUAGGCAAGCACCUUCAGCCAUUGCCUUCAGGCAGUUAAGAGUAUUUUUUAGUGCCUGCUUAUGCUCUCAGCACUUGUCAGGCUUGGGUUAUAUAGUUCCAGGUGGAACUCCUAAUAAAGUCACUGAGGCCAACAUUUUCAGAUUUGGGUGCUUAAAGUUAGGAAUCAACCCUCAUAUUUUGAUACUUUAAUAAAUGGCCUGAUUUUCAGAGGGGCUGAAUACCCUCAUCUCCUAUUGGCUUCAGCCCAUGUUUUGACUGCGGAAAAACAAGACUGAGCUGUCUGGGAACCCUCCUGUGUGACUGUCUUCAGGCAAGCAUCUCCCUAACUUAAUCAGUGAAAGCAUCAAGUAGAGCAAAAGGGGAUGGACACUGAAAAUGGAAACAUGAAUAUAUUUGAGGACCAUCCAUCUUCUCGAUGGUGACAGAUGAGACCAGAAAUGAAGGAGCUAAGUGGAAUGGGAGCCCAACAAUGAUAUUCCUUUCCAUGUCUGCAGAGCACAAACAGAACAACGUUGACCAGAGCUGGCAAGAGCAGACAUCAAGUUCGCUAGAUUAGAAAAUGUAUGGAUCAAAGUGGCUUGAUGAAAUGGGUCACAGUAGGAGUCUCCUCAGCACUCAAUAUCACACAAAGUGGUGUUGCCUUAAGAACAGCUUCACAAAAGAAUAAUGCAAGAAUGCUGCUGGUGCGAGACCUGCCUAUCAUGCUGACCAACAUUGUCACAUUGUUUCCUUUUGCUCCCCCAUCUAUCUGUGUCCAUCUGUUGUCUCUAGUCUUAUAUUUGGAUUGCAAGCUCACUGGGGCAGGGAGCGUCUUUUUGUUGUGUGUUUAUACAGAACCUUGCACAAAGGGUUCUGGUCCAUGACUACCGCUCCUAGGUGCAACAGUAAUACAAAUAAAUAAAUAGUAAUAAAUCUCUACAGCUAACUGCUACCAUCGUUAUCAUGAAUGAGGCAAUCUAUAAUAAAGUUAUGUCAGUACUGAACAGAUAUUUGAGACUGUCAAUGGGAAAAGGGCACUUCUGCAAGAAAGGUGCUUGCAGAAAGUAGAACUUUGAUUUUUUUUU